UUGGUCUCUAAUAAUUUCAGACAAUGGUACCC
rnacentral:piRNA from 1 species